UUUCUGUCCUUUUAAACUGUCUUUAUCUCAGCCCAUGAUAUUUUUGCCCCCCCCCUCCCCUUUUUUUUUCUCACAAUUCUCUCCCCAGUCCCACUGUUGAGGAGGAGCAAGCAAACAGCUGUGUGGUGCUUAGCUGCCUGCUGGGUUACACCACAGCAAGUGAGAGCUGACUUCAGGCUGCUGAGGGAACUUGUUAGUAAGGUCCUCUGCAAAACUGCUUUUGGAGAUGUUGGUGACUGUUAGUGCUAGUCACUUUUUAAGUGCCACCUCAUAAGAGCACAGGAGCAGGUGAUUCCAAAAUGUUGGAAAUCAAGAAGGUGGGGCAGAAGGCUACUGAAAGCAAGUGUAUGUGGAAAAAGCUUAAUUAGAGUUGAAACUGGCCAGUACUUUGUUGGACAAUAAAAAGGGCUUAUCAUCACUGAAAGAAGUGUCUGUGUUUGUAAGACACUGGAGAGCACUAGAUAGUCCCAGCUUCUCUAGAAUAACAGAAGAACAGGUGCAAUCAGGGAGCAUACUGCAAUGCAGGGUAGCAGCUCGUCAGAUUUUGGACAUUAUUUCCUCAAGGAAAAAAAAGGUGAGCAAGUCAAUGCUGAUCAUUUCCAGGUUUCUGUAGCUUUUGCUGCAUAAUUUCAGUGCUCACUGGAUAACCAUCUGCAUACUAAGAGAUAAUACCACAGUAUAAUAACACAGUAUCUGAAUAAAGAUUUUUUCUCAUGUCUG
rnacentral:lncRNA from 1 species